AGUCCCAUGGUGUAAUGGUAACACCCCUGAUUUUGGUUCAGGUAUUUAAGGUUCGAAUCCUUAUGGGACUG
rnacentral:tRNA from 1 species